rnacentral:rRNA from 1 species
GAUGCCCUGGCAGUCAGAGGCGAUGAAGGGCGUGCUAAUCUGCGAUAAGCGCCGGUAAGGUGAUAUGAACCGUUAUAACCGGCGAUACCCGAAUGGGGAAACCCAGUGUGACUCGUCACACUAUCAUUAACUGAAUCCAUAGGUUAAUGAGGCGAACCGGGGGAACUGAAACAUCUAAGUACCCCGAGGAAAAGAAAUCAACCGAGAUUCCCCCAGUAGCGGCGAGCGAACGGGGAGGAGCCCAGAGCCUGAAUCAGCAUGUGUGUUAGUGGAAGCGUCUGGAAAGGCGCGCGAUACAGGGUGACAGCCCCGUACACAAAAGCGCAUGUGCUGUGAGCUCGAUGAGUAGGGCGGGACACGUGGUAUCCUGUCUGAAUAUGGGGGGACCAUCCUCCAAGGCUAAAUACUCCUGACUGACCGAUAGUGAACCAGUACCGUGAGGGAAAGGCGAAAAGAACCCCGGCGAGGGGAGUGAAAAAGAACCUGAAACCGUGUACGUACAAGCAGUGGGAGCACCCUUUGGGUGUGACUGCGUACCUUUUGUAUAAUGGGUCAGCGACUUAUAUUCUGUAGCAAGGUUAACCGAAUAGGGGAGCCGGAGGGAAACCGAGUCUUAAUUGGGCGUUAAGUUGCAGGGUAUAGACCCGAAACCCGGUGAUCUAGCCAUGGGCAGGUUGAAGGUUGGGUAACACUAACUGGAGGACCGAACCGACUAAUGUUGAAAAAUUAGCGGAUGACCUGUGGCUGGGGGUGAAAGGCCAAUCAAACCGGGAGAUAGCUGGUUCUCCCCGAAAGCUAUUUAGGUAGCGCCUCGUGAAUUCAUCUCCGGGGGUAGAGCACUGUUUCGGCUAGGGGGCCAUCCCGGCUUACCAACCCGAUGCAAACUGCGAAUACCGGAGAAUGUUAUCACGGGAGACACACGGCGGGUGCUAACGUCCGUCGUGAAGAGGGAAACAACCCAGACCGCCAGCUAAGGUCCCAAAGUCAUGGUUAAGUGGGAAACGAUGUGGGAAGGCCCAGACAGCCAGGAUGUUGGCUUAGAAGCAGCCAUCAUUUAAAGAAAGCGUAAUAGCUCACUGGUCGAGUCGGCCUGCGCGGAAGAUGUAACGGGGCUAAACCAUGCACCGAAGCUGCGGCAGCGACACUGUGUGUUGUUGGGUAGGGGAGCGUUCUGUAAGCCUGUGAAGGUGUGUCGUGAGGCAUGCUGGAGGUAUCAGAAGUGCGAAUGCUGACAUAAGUAACGAUAAAGCGGGUGAAAAGCCCGCUCGCCGGAAGACCAAGGGUUCCUGUCCAACGUUAAUCGGGGCAGGGUGAGUCGACCCCUAAGGCGAGGCCGAAAGGCGUAGUCGAUGGGAAACGGGUUAAUAUUCCCGUACUUGGUGUUACUGCGAAGGGGGGACGGAGAAGGCUAUGUUGGCCGGGCGACGGUUGUCCCGGUUUAAGCGUGUAGGUGUGUGUUCCAGGUAAAUCCGGUUCACUUUAACACUGAGGCGUGACGACGAGGCACUACGGUGCUGAAGCAACAAAUGCCCUGCUUCCAGGAAAAGCCUCUAAGCAUCAGGUAACAUCAAAUCGUACCCCAAACCGACACAGGUGGUCAGGUAGAGAAUACCAAGGCGCUUGAGAGAACUCGGGUGAAGGAACUAGGCAAAAUGGUGCCGUAACUUCGGGAGAAGGCACGCUGACACGUAGGUGAAGUGAUUUACUCAUGGAGCUGAAGUCAGUCGAAGAUACCAGCUGGCUGCAACUGUUUAUUAAAAACACAGCACUGUGCAAACACGAAAGUGGACGUAUACGGUGUGACGCCUGCCCGGUGCCGGAAGGUUAAUUGAUGGGGUCAGCGCAAGCGAAGCUCCUGAUCGAAGCCCCGGUAAACGGCGGCCGUAACUAUAACGGUCCUAAGGUAGCGAAAUUCCUUGUCGGGUAAGUUCCGACCUGCACGAAUGGCGUAAUGAUGGCCAGGCUGUCUCCACCCGAGACUCAGUGAAAUUGAACUCGCUGUGAAGAUGCAGUGUACCCGCGGCAAGACGGAAAGACCCCGUGAACCUUUACUAUAGCUUGACACUGAACAUUGAGCCUUGAUGUGUAGGAUAGGUGGGAGGCUUUGAAGUGUGGACGCCAGUCUGCAUGGAGCCGACCUUGAAAUACCACCCUUUAAUGUUUGAUGUUCUAACGUGGACCCGUUACCCGGGUUGCGGACAGUGUCUGGUGGGUAGUUUGACUGGGGCGGUCUCCUCCUAAAGAGUAACGGAGGAGCACGAAGGUUGGCUAAUCCUGGUCGGACAUCAGGAGGUUAGUGCAAUGGCAUAAGCCAGCUUGACUGCGAGCGUGACGGCGCGAGCAGGUGCGAAAGCAGGUCAUAGUGAUCCGGUGGUUCUGAAUGGAAGGGCCAUCGCUCAACGGAUAAAAGGUACUCCGGGGAUAACAGGCUGAUACCGCCCAAGAGUUCAUAUCGACGGCGGUGUUUGGCACCUCGAUGUCGGCUCAUCACAUCCUGGGGCUGAAGUAGGUCCCAAGGGUAUGGCUGUUCGCCAUUUAAAGUGGUACGCGAGCUGGGUUUAGAACGUCGUGAGACAGUUCGGUCCCUAUCUGCCGUGGGCGCUGGAGAACUGAGGGGGGCUGCUCCUAGUACGAGAGGACCGGAGUGGACGCAUCACUGGUGUUCGGGUUGUCAUGCCAAUGGCACUGCCCGGUAGCUAAAUGCGGAAGAGAUAAGUGCUGAAAGCAUCUAAGCACGAAACUUGCCCCGA